UGAGUUUCGCGAGACGGGCUAAGUUGUAACAAGGUGUCCGUAGGGGAACCUGCGGACGGAUCACCUCCUU
rnacentral:rRNA from 1 species